UACGUAGGGUGCGAGCGUUUGUCCGGAAUUAUUGGGCGUAAAGAGCUCGUAGGCGGUUCGUCACGUCGGGAGUGGAAAACUCGGGGCUUAACCCCGAGCCUGCUUCCGAUACGGGCAGACUAGAGGUAGGCAGGGGAGAGCGGAACUCCUGGUGUAGCGGUGGAAUGCGCAGAUAUCAGGAAGAACACCGGUGGCGAAGGCGGCUCCUCUGGGCCUUACCUGACGCUGAGGAGCGAAAGCGUGGGUAGCGAACAGG
rnacentral:rRNA from 1 species